GCUCCGGUAGCUUAGUGGUUAGAACGUCCGCCUCGUGUGCAGGAAGUCGCGGGAUUGAACCACGACCAAAUCA